rfam:Olsenella sp. An290 An290_contig_4, whole genome shotgun sequence.
UCGCAUAGCGCGGGGAGCUUGCAGGACGGCAGGCUGAGAGGGGGCGCGCCCGCCCCGACCCGAGGAACCUGACAUGGGUAAUGCCAACGGAGGGAGUUUUGCGCAUGAGCACA